UACGAAGGGGGCUAGCGUUGCUCGGAAUCACUGGGCGUAAAGCGCACGUAGGCGGAUCUUUAAGUCAGGGGUGAAAUCCCGAGGCUCAACCUCGGAACUGCCUUUGAUACUGGGGAUCUCGAGUCCGGGAGAGGUGAGUGGAACUGCGAGUGUAGAGGUGAAAUUCGUAGAUAUUCGCAAGAACACCAGUGGCGAAGGCGGCUCACUGGCCCGGAACUGACGCUGAGGUGCGAAAG
rnacentral:rRNA from 1 species